GCGGUGAAAGGACACUAUAGAGUGUAGAUCCUGGCGUCUCAAGAACACACAGCUUGCUCUCAGAUGACGAGCGGCGGACGGGUGAGUAAUGUCUGGGAAACUGCCUGAUGGAGGGGGAUAACUACUGGAAACGGUAGCUAAUACCGCAUAACGUCGCAAGACCAAAGUGGGGGACCUUCGGGCCUCAUGCCAUCAGAUGUGCCCAGAUGGGAUUAGCUAGUAGGUGGGGUAACGGCUCACCUAGGCGACGAUCCCUAGCUGGUCUGAGAGGAUGACCAGCCACACUGGAACUGAGACACGGUCCAGACUCCUACGGGAGGCAGCAGUGGGGAAUAUUGCACAAUGGGCGCAAGCCUGAUGCAGCCAUGCCGCGUGUGUGAAGAAGGCCUUCGGGUUGUAAAGCACUUUCAGCGGGGAGGAAGGCGUUUAGGUUAAUAACCUUGUCGAUUGACGUUACCCGCAGAAGAAGCACCGGCUAACUCCGUGCCAGCAGCCGCGGUAAUACGGAGGGUGCACGCGUUAAUCGGAAUUACUGGGCCUGAAGCGCACGCAGGGGGUCUGUCACGUCGGAUGUGAAAUCCCCGGUCUCUAUGUGGGAACUGCCUUCCAAACUGGCAAGCUAGAGUUUUGUACAGGGAGGUAGACUUCCAAGGGGU
rnacentral:rRNA from 1 species